rnacentral:rRNA from 1 species
GAAAGUAAACAAGGGCGCAUGGAGGAUGCCUAGGCUCUCGGAGGCGAAGAAGGACGUGAUAAGCUGCGAAAAGUUACGGUAAGGCGCAAAUAGCCCUAGACCCGUAAAUAUCCGAAUGGGGCAACCCGGCCAGCAAUGGCCAUACCGCCAAGCGGUAAGCCAACGCGGGGAACUGAAACAUCUAAGUACCCGCAGGAAAAGAAAAUAACAAUGAUUCCGCCAGUAGUGGCGAGCGAACGCGGAACAGCCCAAACCACCCGUGUUACGGCACGAGUGGGGUAGAAGGAUCCACGAUACGGCAAGAAAUAAGUUAGCAGAAUACGAUGGAAAUCGUAGCCAAAGACGGUGACAGCCCAGUACGCGAAAACCGACAGAAGCCCAGUGGACACCUGAGUAACCCAGGACACGAGAAAUCCGGGGCGAAUCAGCGGGGCCCAUCCCGUAAGGCUAAAUACUCCCGAGAGACCGAUAGCGAACCAGUACUGUGAAGGAAAGGUGAAAAGAACCUCGAACAGAGGAGUGAAAGAGACCCUGAAACCAUGCGCCUACAAGCGGUCGGAGCAUGUUAAAAUGUGACGGCGUGCCUUUUGCAUAAUGAACCUACGAGUUACUCUCGCUGGCAAGGUUAAGCGAUUCAGUCGCGCAGCCGAAGCGAAAGCAAGUCCGAAUAAGGCGUACAGUCAGCGGGAGUAGACGCGAAACCAAGUGAUCUACCCUUGGUCAGGUUGAAGGUUGGGUAACACCAACUGGAGGACCGCACCGAUAAGCGUUGAAAAGCUUACGGAUGAACUGAGGGUAGGAGUGAAAGGCCAAUCAAACUUGGAGAUAGCUCGUACUCCCCGAAAUGCAUUUAGGUGCAGCGUUCCGCGAUAGCGUCAAGAGGUAGAGCGACCGAUAGGAUGCGAGGGCUUCACCGCCUAUCAAGUCCUGACGAACUCCGAAUGCUUGACGCCGGCAGCGGGGCAGCAAGGGGGCGGGUGCUAAGGUCCGUCCCCGAGAGGAGAAGAAUCCAGACCGCCGUCUAAGGUCCCGGAAUUCUGCCUGAGUUAGUCUAACGAAGUGAGGUCCCUGAGACAGCCAGGAUGUUGGCUUGGAAGCAGCCAUUCAUUCAAAGAGUGCGUAACAGCUCACUGGUCGAGGGUCCUUGCGUGGAUAAUAAUCGGGUAUAAGGCAGAUACCGAAGGCGCGGGAUAGUAAUAAUAAAAGUAUCGGUAGGGGAGCAUUCCAUGUGCGUCGAAUGUUCAUGGUGACGUGAGCUGGAGCGCAUGGAAAAGCAAAUGUAGGUAUAAGUAACGACAAGGAGGGCGAGAACCCCUCCCGCCGCAAGACCAAGGUUUCCCGGGCAAUGCCAGUCAUCCCGGGGUCAGUCGGGUCCUAAGUCUAAGCCGAACGGCGAGGGCGAUGGCAGAAACGGUUAAUAUUCCGUUACUGCCUGUGCGAGCGAUGUGGAGACGGAGAAGUGGAACCGCCGCGGGGUGACGGAAGUCCCCGUUGAAGGGCGUAGGUUAUGAGGUGUGCAGGCAAAUCCGCAUUCCGAGCCGACCCUGACAGUACUCCGGCGCCUGCGGGCAACGGAGAUAGUGCGGGUAAUCAUGCUCCCGAGAAAAUCCGCUAAGCAAUCGCACAGGCACCCGUACCGCAAACGGACACACGUAGUCGGGUAGAAUAUACUAAGGCGUUGAGAGACUCAUGGUUAAGGAACUAGGCAAACUGACCCCGUAACUUCGGGAUAAGGGGUCCUCACGUAGAGUGAGGCGCAGAGAAUAGGUCCAGGCAACUGUUUAACAAAAACACAGGGCUGUGCGAACUCGAAAGAUGAAGUAUACAGCCUGACACCUGCCCGGUGCCGGAAGGUUAAGAGGAGAGCUUAUCGCAAGAGAAGGCUUGAAUUGAAGCCCCGGUAAACGGCGGCCGUAACUAUAACGGUCCUAAGGUAGCGAAAUUCCUUGUCGGGU